rnacentral:rRNA from 1 species
UACGUAGGGACCAAGCGUUGUUCGGAUUUACUGGGCGUAAAGGGCGCGUAGGCGGCGCGGUAAGUCACUUGUGAAAUCUCUGAGCUUAACUCAGAACGGUCAAGUGAUACUGCAGUGCUAGAGUGUGGAAGGGGCAAUCGGAAUUCUUGGUGUAGCGGUGAAAUGCGUAGAUAUCAAGAGGAACACCUGAGGUGAAGACGGGUUGCUGGGCCAACACUGACGCUGAGGCGCGAAAGCCAGGGGAGCAAACGGG